AAAAAAGUGUGGAUGAUGAGUGCUCACAGGGGGCAGUAGGAAGCUUCCCGAAAGAAGAAGCCCCCACACAAUUUGUCUUGAGGCGCCACACAGGAAAAACAAACAGAAAGAGG
ensembl:ncRNA T22B11.9 ncRNA